GGGACACAGAGCCCCUCCACGUGAGCUACUGUUCUGGGAACGCUGGUUGUACCAAGGACAGCCCUUUGGCAAGCAUGCAGCCUUUGUUCCUCCGCCCACUUAAGCCAGCUUCUCUUGGGGGGCGAUUGCGGGUGCACGCUUCCAUCCAGCCAACCACCACUGGACCCUCUCCCAAUAAGCUGAAACAGAGAUCAACGGGAGAAAUGGCUAGAGAUGAAUUUGAGAGGUGAACAGGUCUCAGGUCACGAAAGAAUUUUAAGUCAUGUUUUAAGUUUGGAUCAUAAUUGAAGUUCAAAGGGAAGCUAUGACACAGAUUCAAGCAAAUGUGUGCACCAAUAUAACCGUCACCCAGAUCUAGAUAUAAAACAUCACAAGCAUCUCAGAAGCCUCCAUCUUGCUUCUCUCAGUGAAUAUACCCUCAGUUUUAUCAGUUUUCUGACUUCCAUCAACUACCUAUUGGGAUUUCCUAUUUGCUCUAGACUAGACCUGAUGAACAGGAGCUUUCAGAAAGAUUACAGCUGACAAGACCUUGGAGAAGGGCUCUUCAGGUGUCCAGAUUGAACUUGUCUCGCUUUUAUACCUGGCAUAAUAGCGCGAAGAAGUCUUUUGAUGUCAUUGCGCCAGAGAUUGCAGCGACAGCAUUACUGGCAUUGCCCCAGUGGGUAGUAAUGCAUCAGCCAACCAUUACUAGAGAAACAGGAAUGAAGAAGGAGCCUGAGGAUGCAAGUGCGGUGGUGGUAGUUGUUCAGUUUCACUUUGGGAAGCAAAACACUGUAGCCAUCCUUUGCUUUAAAACUUUCUGUUGUGUCAGUUUCAACUGCUUAUUCAUCGGGGUUAUUAUCUGAAAAUUUAUUUUUAAAAUAAACAAUGUAAAAUUCUAUUUGUGGAGCAAAUUUAUUACAUGUAUACCCAUUUGCAUGAACACUUUUGGAAAAUGGUUAUUUCAUGGAAUCAUACUUUUUCAAUGCCAAGUUACGUUUUGUUUUGUUUUUGUGUUGUCAAAGCAAUGUCAAUAAUGUGUAUUCACAUACUUGCUUUAAAAUUAAAUUACAUAUAGGUAACUUGCCUAGCCUUAACUUUCUAAAAAACAUCUUAACUACUAUAUCUAGACAAAAAUUACCCAUAUCCUUCAAUCUUUACUAAGUUUUGAUAUUCAUAUGAUUCACCCACAAUUCACAACUUCCAUAAGUGAAAUUUCUUUAUGCUUUAUUUAUAAAGCCUUGUCUGAAAACUUGGAAGUUAAGAUACAGGUAAUGUACAGUUUAUAGAAGAAAAAGAAACAUUUGAGUAUUACGCAUUAAGAGCAUUUUUGACUUCAAAUAAAACCUAAAUAUUCUAAUUACUCUAAACAGAGUCAGGCAACAUCCUGAAAGCUUCUUCAUGGAGUUGUAAUGUUUUAUGAAGAAUUUUAUAUCCCAUGUGUUGUACUGUCACAUCCUUCUGAUAUCAGUGUGGAUGGGAUGCAGAAGGAGUUCAUGAAUUUAGAGUGUCACAAAUAUACUACCUAGAUGACAUCUCAUAAAUCUCCUUCUUAUAUCAGAAGGGUAAGUCAGUUCUGUUUUAUUAUAUGUUUAUUAGUGAUACCAAAAUGUAUUGCAUAAUUCAUGUUUUUUGGCCAAUAGUUUUUAGAAUUUCAUUGUACACAAUUUAGCAAUAUACAUAUAAUAUGCAUGAAUUGUUUCCCGAUUGCCUUGGUAAAUGCACAAUUUAUAACUAGGCACUUAGAAAAUAAUGGCUUUUUUCUGUAUAUGUAACUGUAUAAAAUAUUUCAGAAUCUCCAGUAGACUUUCAAAUAUUAGUGUUUCAUUGGAAUUGUCAUGGCUUAAAAUGGCAGCCCAGAUUAUUUAUUAAAUGAAACAGAAAGACAUAUCAUUACAAAUAUUUGUUUUUGUGUGCUUUUUUUACAAAACUUUAAUUAUAGUACAAUGGAAACAGUCCAUCAAACCAAACUACAUUGGCAAUGGGUGCAAGAAGUCAAGAACUGCCAUAAGUCCUCAAAAUAUUGAAUCAAGCAUAUAAAAUAUAAAAAAUUCCUGCAAAUUAAUGUAUUUCAGAAUUUUACAUUUUGCAUAUUAUGUAAUAUCCCUAUCAGAUUCUGGGUAGCUUGAUAUUAUUAUUUCUCAGUAACAUAUGUGAAUGUUCAUCCCAAGGGGGAGUAAUGAACUGUAUAAGAAGCCUGUGUUAGCUUGGGUUGACAUAGAUUUUGCCAGAAUGUGCUGCCAAAUGAGAUAUAAACCAGCUUUUGAUUUUAAACAUUUUUCUAUUUUAGAUUUGCAAAUAACACUAUCAGAACUAAACUGGGUUAUACAGAACAGAAACGGUCUCAAAAUAACUUAAGUAAACAGCAGAAUUUACUGUAAUAAAUAGUGAAAGUAUACGGAAACCAAAGAGCUACGCUUUAAAGGUCACCGGGAAGGGAAUCUUACUGAGAUGCUCUUUGAGUAUCUUCUCGUUACAGUGCAGGAGAAGAGCAUUCACUUGUGUCUUUUAAUUAAAAAUCCAGGGAGAAAUUUAAGUUUGUUAUAUGAAAAUAGAGUGCACUCAAAAAAGAAGUUCUGGCUAUUGAUAAUCUAUCAGACCUAAAAAUAAUCCUCCACCUCUGUUUCACUUACAAAUAUUAUAUUUUGGGGAUUAAUGUAUAUACAUUUCUAAAAGGAAGCAUCAGGCAUUGUUAAUUUGAGAACCAGACUCCAUAAUUUGGUGAAUGCGAUACUGCCUGUCUUAUGGAAUCACAAGAUUUAUUUCUGCAUGGCGUUUUGUAGACGAUGUGUUAGUACCAGAAACAUUCAGAAAAAGAAAAGUGUGGUAGAAACAAACAAACAUGCUAUGAUAUUCUCUUGUAUGAUGUGGUAGUUCACAACAAAUUUUUUCUUAAUAAUUAAUCUCGAGGGAACUAAAUUUUACACACUGUGCACUAAAAUAUGUCCUGAGUGUAAUGAAUUAUUUUUCAAAAACACAAAGGAAUAACCACUAGUCUAACCUACUAGUAAAAGCAACUACUAAUAUAACUACCAGUAUAAUAUAAAAAUAAAGACUACUCCAUCAUUUUUAGUGUAAUAGAUUAUUUAUACUUAGAAAAAUAUGUAUAUUAGUUCAGAAUGACUAAUGACAAAAUAGGUUUUAGAAACACUGUUAAUUUGUAGGUAAAGAUGUAAAGGUAGACGUUUCGUAAGAACAGCUCAUUUUAACAUGAGAUUUGUUAGAGAAUUCAUUAGAAUGAAGACCAGAACUAGCCAAAACAGUUCAUAUUACCUGAAGUCAAUUGAUCUUGUUGAUUUUAAGACUAAAAAGCCAGAUCAAAUGCAAAAAGAAUUUUGUUCAAAAUACCAUUUAACUCAAUGUAUUCACUUAAGUAUGUUUUAUAUUAUUCCCUAGAAUUUCAUAUGAAGAAGCUAAAAAUAAGAGUAAUGUGAUUUGCCCAUUAUCACACAGCUAAAAGCUGUAGCAAUGACGUCUGAACUCAUGCCUUCCAGGUACAGGUCAUUCCUCUUUCCAUAAUACAACGUGAGCCAGUAUAAAACACAAAUGCCUAUGUUUUCUUUGGAAAGAAAUUUGGUUAACAUUUGUUAUGAUAUCAUGGGAAUUUAACAUAAAAAAUAAAUAGUAAAGUAGGAACUGAUAUUCACAGACUUGAUCCUCACCAAAGUCUAUAACUAUGGAGGACUUCAUUCAGUUAGAAAAGAAAGGAGGUGUAUUUAAUAAAGAGGUGUUUGGCAAAGAUAUUUUUAAGUGUCGAUAUUACUGGUCGCCUACAAAGUACUUUACAUAGAAUAAGAGUUAAUGUUAAGUAUAAUCUCGUGAGAUAAUUAUUUUGUUUUUCUCUUUUCCACAAAAGAAAAUGAGUUGCCUGGAGUUACUUGCACAUAAGGAAUGGAGAAAUCAUAAUUCAAAACCAAGCUUGUUUGACUGCAAAAGCAGGGCUUUUGUCAUUACUUUACAUUGUUACUAACUAUCCAUUUUCUUAUACUAACUUUGUAAACAUAACAUCAAUCUUUGAUGGCCUGAAAAUAAUUAUUUAUAUAAAGUAGUUUAGGUAUGUCUUCACUUUAGAAUUGUGGCUACUGCUGAUUUUUUUCUAGUGCCUUUAUGUAGGAAUUAAUAUAUAAAUGCAAAUUUUAGUAUAAUAUACUAACAGUGCUUUGAUUAUGGAAUCAGCAGGAAAUGAGCACAAACAUACUGCCUCCCACAUUCAGAUACAAAUGAAAGAGAAUUUCCAAACUCAGCUUCAUUGGCCUCUGUUUCCAUGCUGCUUGUCCUUCUCUAUACUAAAUAAGUUACAUACAAUUUAUUAUUCUUUCCUGUAAAUUCACAGCUAGGAUUUGAAGUGUGCUUUAGAAUACUAAAUCGCUGUCAUGGUUUUCCAACUAUUUCUGAGUCACUUCUCUGAUGACUUGGAAAAUGUAUUACAUUGCAUUGAGAUUUUCAGUUCAGCAACUAUUUCUGCAGAGUCAAGUGGCUAUUCACUUAAGUUCCACAAAGAGUUGUCUACUGAUUACUGAGUGUAAAUUAGCACAUCAUGAUGAAUAUAAGCUAUUGUUUCUCAUAACGUUUAUUACAGGUAACUCUUAAACUUAUGAUGUUGGAUCUGUGUUUCAACAAUGUCAAGAAGCACAAAGAUAUCAAUCACUCACUACUCCAAAAUAAUGCUAUUUGUAAAUUGAGCAACACACAACUUGACAAAGAAAUACUUCUGCUAUUGUGAAAGUCAAGAGGUUCAACAACUACUCCUAUGGCUAGGUCUGACAAGUGCAUUGUUUUUAAGGAUAGACCUAUGCUCCUAAUCAUUUCAAGUAUAUGCAGUGCUGGAAUCUAUUGCUGAAUAAAUAUGCGUGUAUGAAUGUGAAAUAUAAUACAAAUUCAGCUUGAGUGAAUGCCAGAUUGCGUUGUACCAUUUCUAUCAAAAAUUUUUAUAUUAUAGAACCUCUCUGGUCUAGCUCAUCUAACUGAUCAUAUUUUACCAGUAGGUAUUCAACAUCUCCAAACAGCUGGCUUCUUGAUAUGGCUAUGAAAGUACACCUGGAGAGAUGCUUUUGAAGAAUUCAUGUCGUUAACUCAUCUGACCCUUAGAGGAAGGAAUGAAUGAAUGGAGAAAACAUCAAUCAAUGUUUUAAUAAAUGAAUAAAAGAAUGGAAUAUAGGCCACCACUGAGUUAUUUUAUACAUUCUUCAUGAAGCCUAUUUCUACAUAGCUCUCAUUAAUGUAUUAAUAAAAGUUGUGAGUGAUGACUUGAAAUAUUUCUUGCCUUAAAAUGAUUAAAUAGCAAAUCGUGAAUUUAUGUAUUAAGUUUACUACACUAAAGAAAUAUAACGAUUGUUCCAUAAUCCUUGAUUGAUAGCCAGAAAUAGUUUCAAGGAUCAUUUCAAUAUACAAUGUUCUUCUUCUUUUCAAAAUGGGUACAAUCAUUUAGGUUUUAAUUAUAAAAUUCUUAGACAAUAUCAGUUAUGUGUCAAGUGUUUUCAGUACGUAUGUUGUUAAAUUCAUUUUUUCCCCAGGAAACAGAUUUGCUUUUAACUAAGACGUGUUUAAGAAAUAAACGUAAAGGAAA